AGUAACUGCGAGUGAAGCGGCAAAAGCUCAAAUUUGAAAUCUGGCGUCUUCGGCGUCCGAGUUGUAAUUUGGAGGGGCAUCUUCGGAGUUGGCGCCGUCCUAAGUUCCUUGGAACAGGACGUCAUAGAGGGUGAGAAUCCCGUGCCUGGAUGGCUGUCCAUCUCCAUGUGAAGUGUCUCCGACGAGUCGAGUUGUUUGGGAAUGCAGCUCAAAAUGGGUGGUAAAUUUCAUCUAAAGCUAAAUAUUGGCGAGAGACCGAUAGCGCACAAGUAGAGUGAUCGAAAGAUGAAAAGCACUUUGAAAAGAGAGUUAAAAAGUACGUGAAAUUGUUGAAAGGGAAGCGCUUGAGAUCAGACUCAAUCUUUGGUGAUCAGCUGUGCUUUUGUACAGUGCACUUGCUAUUGAUUGGGCCAGCAUCGGUUCUGAUGGCAGGAUAAAAGGUAGAGGAAUGUGGCUCUCUUCGGGGAGUGUUAUAGCCUCUGUCAUAAUGCUGCCUAUUGGGACCGAGGACCGCGCUUCGGCUAGGAUGCUGGCGUAAUGGUCUUAAGCGACCCGUCUUGAAACACGGACCAAGGAGUCUAACAUCUAUGCGAGUGUUCGGGUGGAAAACCCUUGCGCGUAAUGAAAGUGAACGGAGGUGGGAACCCGCAAGGGUGCACCAUCGACCGAUCCUGAUGUCUUCGGAAGGAUUUGAGUAAGAGCAUAGCUGUUGGGACCCGAAAGAUGGUGAACUAUGCCUGAAUAGGGUGAAGCCAGAGGAAACUCUGGUGGAGGCUCGCAGCGGUUCUGACGUGCAAAUCGAUCGUCAAAUUUGGGUAUAGG
rnacentral:rRNA from 1 species